CUACGGGUGGCUCCAGUGGGGAAUUUUGGACAAUGGGCGAAAGCCUGAUCCAGCCAUUCCGCGUGAGUGAUGAAGGCCUUCGGGUUGUAAAGCUCUUUCGGCCGGGAAGAAAUCGUGCAGGCUAAUAUCCUGCAUGGAUGACGGUACCGGACCAAGAAGCACCGGCUAACUACGUGCCAGCAGCCGCGGUAAUACGUAGGGUGCGAGCGUUAAUCGGAAUUACUGGGCGUAAAGCGUGCGCAGGCGGAUGUUUAAGCCAGAUGUGAAAUCCCCGGGCUUAACCUGGGAAUGGCAUUUGGAACUGGACAUCUAGAGUGUGUCAGAGGGGGGUGGAAUUCCACGUGUAGCAGUGAAAUGCGUAGAGAUGUGGAGGAACACCGAUGGCGAAGGCAGCCCCCUGGGAUAACACUGACGCUCAUGCACGAAAGCGUGGGGAGCAAACAGGAUUAGAUACCCUAGUAGUC
rnacentral:rRNA from 1 species